GCGCCUCUGCUCCGUUCCCCGCGGGUCUCCUCGGUGUGCCAUGGACGGCAUCGUCCCAGACAUAGCAGUCGGUACAAAGCGGGGAUCCGACGAGCUCUUUUCCACGUGUGUCAGCAACGGCCCCUUCAUCAUGAGCAGCUCCACCUCAGCAGCCAAUGGAAACGAUAGCAAGAAGUUCAAAGGUGACAACAGGAGCGCAGGAGUCCCUUCCAGAGUCAUUCAUGUCCGAAAGCUACCCAGCGAUGUUACUGAGGGCGAGGUCAUCUCCCUGGGGCUGCCCUUUGGGAAGGUUACCAAUCCUUAUGCUGAAGGGGAAGAACCAGGCCUUCAUUGAAAUGAAUACAGAGGAGGCUGCCAACACUAUGGUUAACUACUACACGUCGGUGGCGCCAGUGCUUCGUGGACAGCCCAUCUAUAUCCAGUUCUCCAACCACAAAGAGCUCAAGACUGACAGCUCGCCCAACCAGGCUGUGAACUCCGUCCAGUCUGGAAACCUGGCCUUGGCAGCCUCCGCUGCUGCCGUGGACGCAGGAAUGGCAAUGGCAGGCCAGAGCCCAGUGCUCAGGAUCAUUGUGGAAAACCUUUUCUACCCAGUGACCCUGGACGUGCUGCACCAGAUCUUCUCUAAGUUUGGCACAGUCCUGAAGAUCAUCACGUUCACCAAGAACAACCAGUUCCAGGCACUGCUGCAGUACGCUGACCCUGUGAGCGCCCAGCACGCCAAACUGUCCCUGGAUGGCCAGAACAUCUACAACGCCUGCUGCACGCUUCGCAUCGAUUUCUCCAAGCUCACCAGUCUCAACGUCAAAUACAACAAUGAUAAGAGCAGAGACUACACUCGACCUGACCUGCCCUCUGGAGACAGCCAACCUUCGCUGGACCAGACCAUGGCAGCAGCCUUUGGCCUCUCUGUCCCUAAUGUCCAUGGAGCCCUGGCCCCCCUGGCCAUCCCGUCUGCUGCUGCUGCUGCUGCGGCUGGCCGCAUUGCCAUCCCAGGGUUGGCAGGUGCUGGGAAUUCCGUCCUUUUGAUCAGCAACCUGAACCCUGAGAGAGUCACACCCCAAAGCCUCUUUAUUCUCUUCGGUGUCUAUGGUGAUGUGCAACGGGUGAAGAUCCUGUUCAAUAAGAAGGAGAAUGCACUUGUGCAGAUGGCAGACGGCAGCCAGGCCCAACUGGCCAUGAGCCACCUGAAUGGGCACAAGCUGCACGGGAAGUCAGUGCGCAUCACACUGUCAAAGCAUCAGAGUGUGCAGCUGCCUCGGGAGGGUCAGGAGGACCAGGGCCUGACCAAGGAUUAUGGCAGCUCCCCGCUCCACCGCUUCAAGAAACCAGGCUCCAAGAACUUCCAGAACAUCUUUCCACCCUCAGCUACCCUGCACCUCUCCAACAUCCCGCCUUCUGUGUCAGAGGAUGACCUCAAGAGCCUCUUCUCCAGCAAUGGUGGUGUGGUCAAGGGCUUCAAGUUCUUCCAGAAGGACCGCAAGAUGGCACUGAUCCAGAUGGGCUCUGUGGAGGAGGCAGUGCAGGCGCUGAUUGAACUGCACAACCAUGACCUGGGCGAGAACCACCACCUGCGAGUGUCCUUUUCCAAGUCCACCAUCUAGGUGCCUGUGGGCCUGCAUCAGCUUCCACCAUUCCAGAAAAGCCACUUUAAAAAGCAGCUGAAGUGACCUUACAGACCAGAGAUUUUAUUUUUUUAAAGAGAGAUCAGUUUACCUGUUUUUAAAAAAAUUAAAUCUAGCCCACUCUACCGUGGCAGGAAAUGGCUUGGGCCACAGAGGCCCAGUCAAUCCCAGCACCAUGCCUUGAGGGGCUCAGGCGUGAGGCCACAGCGGUGCCCCAAACACAGCCGCUUUCUGUGCCUUACAAACCAGCGUGCCUCACGGCUGUACACCUAUCCUCUAAGGCCACCAGCUGUCUCUAGACCUGCAGGUGAGCCAGGUGGCCUAUAUAUAGGCUCCCCAAUGCUGUGCAAGAGCUGGGGCCAUUCCCCUACACCCUUAUAAUCAAGUGACAUGAUUCUCCCAUGUCCCUGGCCAGCCCAGAGGGCCUAGGCCAUCCUC